CCUACGGGUGGCUGCAGUAGGGAAUCUUCCACAAUGGACGAAAGUCUGAUGCAGCAACGCCGCGUGAGUGAAGAAGGGUUUCGGCUCGUAAAGCUCUGUUGGUAGUGAAGAAAGAUAAAGGUAGUAACUGGCCUUUAUUUGACUGUAAUUACUUGGAAAGUCACGGCUAAUUACGUGAAAGCAGCCGCGGUAAUACGUAGGUGGCAUGCGUUGUCCGGAUUUAUUGGGCGUAAAGCGAGUGGAGGCGGUACAUUAAGUCUGCUGUGAAAGCCUUCGGCUCAACCGGAGAAUUGCAUCAGAAACUGUUGAGCUUGAGUGCAGAAGAGGAGAGUGGAACUCCAGGUGUAGCGGUGAAAUGCGUAGAUAUAAGGAAGAACACCGGUGGCGAAGGCGGCUUUCUGGUCUGCGACUGACGCUGAGGCUCGAAAGCAUGGGUAGCAAACAGGAUUAGAUACCCCUGUAGUC
rnacentral:rRNA from 1 species